rnacentral:rRNA from 1 species
CGCGUAGGCGGUUGAUGCAGUCAGAUGUGAAAUCCCCGGGCUUAACCUGGGAACUGCAUUUGAGACGCAUUGACUAGAGUUCGAGAGAGGGUUGUGGAAUUCCCAGUGUAGAGGUGAAAUGCGUAGAUAUAGGAAGGAACACCAGUGGCGAAGGCGACCACCUGGACUGAUACUGACACUGAGGUGCGAAAGCGUGGGGAGCAACA